GUAUAUAUGUAAUGCCGAAGAGAGGUUAGGGUUUCUUUAGGUUUCCGUACUUUCCUGUUGAGCACUGCGGCGCAACUCGCCUUGCUGCGGUUGGUGGUGGCGAUGGAGAUUGCAGCGCGGCUGAAGGGAACCUACUGGGUUGGUGACAUUUACAAGAGAGUCUUGAAGAUUUUCCAGAACGGGAAAGAUUUUGGAAGAACAAAGAGGAACUACAGAAUCAUUGCUUACAUUGACACAAUUGAAUGGGAAGCCAUCAUUCUUUAAAGGGCAAUGACCAAGCAGUACCAGCAGAAAUUGAAGUACCAGCAGAAGGCUAAGAAGGGAUCAUGGCACAAGUUGCAGUUUCCACCCUGCCCAUUGAAGAUGAGGAGUCCAUGGAAGAUGAGGAGUCUGUUGAAGACGAGGAGUCCGUUGAAGAUGAGUCCGCGGAGAGCAGGAUGCUGGUGACAUUGCUCAUAUCAGCUCUUGAGUCCACGUUCUGGAGGCCACAAGUCCAAAAUCAAGGUGUGGGCAGAAAUGCGCUCCCUCUGCAGACUCUUGGGGAGGAUCCUUGCUUCUUCCAGGUCUGCGACUGUGGUUCCUGCAGCCACUGGAACCAGCUCUGCACAGCUCAGACCUGAGUGAUGAGGACACAGCUUCGCAGCUCCUGAAUGUUCCGGAUGAGCUCGGCUUCCUGAGGGAGGAGACGCCCUGAGCACCAGAGCCAGUCCCUGGUGAGGAUCCCAGGAGGCCCAGCUGCUGCAGGCCUUGGUCAACACCUGAGCAACCACAAGGAGUUGAAUGCCGGGCCUGAGCUCUGACUGUGGCCUUCUGUGGGCUGCUGGGAAGGUCCCUCAGCGGCAGUUCCCACGCCCCAGGCUUCAGGAGUCAUCGCUGCUGCUCACUCAGUGCACCUGGGAACGUUGGCCUGCCCUUGGCCUCUGGACAGCCCCUGAGGACCCAAACUCUGGGGGCCCAGAUGCCCGCCCAGGCUGCCCCUCAGGGCUCUGUGCUGGGAAAGGCCAUCUUCACACCAAGAACAGGAGAAGGACCCUGUGUUUCUUCUUAUUGCCUGGCCAGUUUAAUUUGCUGUGUGUAGGAACAAGCCUUUUCUCUGUGAUUGGGGUCUUUGCCUCAACCACUGGGUACUUCCUUGUGUGCCAGGGCCCGGGUCCUGCGCCCCUCUAUCCCUGGGUUUGCCUCUCCGUGCACUGUCAGUGUCUCCAUCAGUUGGCAGGUGCCCUUGUUGCGGGCAGAGAGUUUGCGGGAGCUGCAGGAGUUCUUGAGGCACUGAGAGAGUGCAGGGGGAAGGGCCUGCAGAAGGGUAAAGAAGGGAGGAGGGAAGGCAUGAGGGGAGGGAGGGACUCAAGGGUUCUUGCCUGAGCUUGGGGUAUGGCAGGAGACCAGCUGCCCCCACCCCACAUCUUUCACGAAUGUCUACAGGCCUGUAGUGGUUCUCAGGGAGGCCCCAGGCUCUGAGAGGUCAGAGAAUUCUCCAGAGCCAGCAUCUGGGCCAGGACUGAGUUACUCUCUCACCCUGUGGGGCUGCCCCACAGACAAGCUGGGGUGGAUUGGGAAGUUAUAGGGGACAUGGAGGAGAGGGGACCUGUGGGUGCAGAUCUUUGUGUCCCCGGCUCUGUAUAGGAUGAAUGGGAGCAGUGGCUCCCAGCCCACCCCACCUUACCUGUCCACACCUGCAGUGCUGGCCCAGACCUGGGUUUCCACCUUGGGAGCAACUGUCCCAGCGAGGGAGGGUCUCUGGGGAGGUGCCUUGUGGCUUAGCCCAGGGAGCCCAGGGUCAGGAUGACUGUGCCAGGACUCAAAGGGAUUAGAGGAGGAGAGGAGAAACAGCUGCUUGGAAGUCAGGGGUCUUCUGGGGCAAAGCUGCCUCCUGUCACUAAGGGGCCAGAUUUCGGGACUCAGGGGUCUCACGUGCAGAGGGCUGGGCUCCCGCGUGCUUGCAGCAGCCACGUGGCUUGUCCACAUGAACUGCGGGGGGGGGGGCUCCUCCUCUCUGCGCCCACAAAUCCCGGCCACCCAAGGGUGCUGGCACCUUCAGCAGCUCCGUUUCCACAUGGUCGCGCACGAGGUUGGGGUGCUCGCGGCGCUCACGGCACUGCAGGUUGUCAGUGGUGAUGGAGAAGGGCACCUCUGUGGCGUCCAGGGCGCGCUCCAGCCGUUGCUUCUGGGCCAGGAGCAAGUUGGUCUCCGCAGCCAGCGCCUCCAUCUCACGCUGCAGCUCCGACUUCCAGCUGUGCGUGUCCUGCAGUCGCUCGCCCACUGUGCGCGUGGAGUCUUGCUGCGUGCGCUGCGCCAGCGCCUGGGUCUCUGUGGCCAGCUGCUGGCUCUCGUGCCGCUGCCGCUCCGACUGGUCGCGGUCGGCGAAGGCCUGGUGGUAGCGAGCAUAGCAGUUCUGGAACCACUCCUCCAGCAGGUACUUGGAGGUGCGGAAGCUGGCGGUGGCCAGGCCGGAGGACGUGUAGGCGCCCGUGUUACGGGCCACGUCGUACUCUUUGCAGGGCAGCUCGCAGGGCGGCACUGUCUGCGCCAUGGUGCCUGCCGCCCACCAGGGCCAGGGGAGUGAGGACUGUGUGUGGUCAGCCGGUUGCGGUCAGCCUAGUGCGGUCAGCGGGGCAGCUCCAACGGCUCAGUCCCAGAGCAGGACGCGGCUCCCAGUCGCUUGGGUGACACUGUGUAAACCAAGAGCUUCCUGUUGCCAAGAAACGGGAUCUCUUCUCCAGUAGCUAGGGGAGGGGCAUUCAGGGUGGUGGGCAGAACUGCCCUCUUAAAGGGCCAGGCAGCCCCAGCCCCACCAUCCCUGUCCCCGCCUCGGGGCAAUCAACAGUGGCCAAGGGUUCCUGUCACUUAGAGGAUCCUGGGGCCAGCCCGUCUCCAGCCUCUGAGUCCCACCCUUAGGGUUCAGGGUGUGGGUGGGGACCUACUGCCCUGGCCCCUUCCUUGGUUCAUCCAUUUGUUCCUGGUUUGCGCUCUGAUCCUGUCCUGUGCGGAGCUCCGCGCUCAGGGUGAACAAGACAGGAGACUCUGCUCAGUUGCAGCCACCUCAGGGCAGAGGGCUGUGGCUGUCGUGUGGGUGUUGGGUGUGCUGACUGAUAGUGUUACUUGAUGCCGUACAGGUGGCUGCUCUCCCUGCCCUCCUGGCCCCAACAGCAGCCUGGUAGCACAGGGAGGGUUCCAGGCCAGGUCCCCUCGGGGGCAGUCUGAGGCAGUUCCUGCAGGAACUCUGCUCCAUUUUCUCCUGCACCUAGUGCCUGAGAGCCAGGCCCUGGCCUCUGGCCUUCUCCUCCCAAGUCCAAGCCAGGGUCCCCUCAGGCUGGGCACAGCGGGGAGGGAGUCUGAGUGUGCUCUUCGCUGGGGAGUUGAAUUCAGCCUCUGGGUAAGUGUCCAGAGUCAGACGCCCAAAUCUGCCCCACAGGGCGGAGGCAGGUCCUGUGCUGCGGAGGCUGCCCUCAAAGCCAUUCAGGGCCAGGCUGCCUGGCGGAGGCUGGAUGGGCAGGAAGCGCCCCAGGACACAUCGGAGUCCCCCUAACCUGGGGCCAGGGGAGCCCCAGCCUAGGCGCGAUUCCCCACACGGCCAGCGGAGGGCGACGUUGGUCUGGCACUGAGAAGCCUGCGGCUCCUGGCUCGGCCUCCCCUCCGUCUGCCUGGCGCAUGCAGUCCUGGGGACCCCCAGCCCCUCCGGCCUCCUCUUCUCUGAGAGCCCCCCACCAGAAAGUCCUCACUAGGAAGUCCAUACCCUUCCUACAGCACAGACCUCUGGGCCCCUGUUCUCUCCACCUUCACCCCCUCUCCCACCACAGCCCACACCCUCACUCCAGCCACAGGAGCCGGAGCUCCUCCUGGGCCAUUCCCACCACCCCGCCCAGGGUCUCUCCAGCCCCACCAUGUGCCGGCCAGUGCCCUCCUCCUGGACCUGACCUCCCCCCGUCCUGGCCUCUCCCGCGGCCAGAACCCUCAGUCCAUGCUGCUGUCACCACGGUGCGCCUGGCCUGACACAGCCUCCUGAUGGGGCUUUUGAGGACAGCAGCCCGGAGACUUACCCUAACCCAGGCCGAGUCAGAACCUGUGGCAGGCGGCCUGGGAACCUCUUCUUACUGUCCAUCAAAAUUGGGAGGUCAGGGGACCUUCAGGGACUGGUGUGGUCUGAGAAACAUCCUCGAGCCUCGCCAUGACUCAGUUUCCCCAGAUGGCAGCAGGCUGGAGCCCACACGCAGGGCAGGAUGCCAGGCUCCACCUUUUGUCUGGAACCUGCAUUCACUGGGCACCUCUCUUUAGGCAGAGCAGAGCAGAGCUGCCCGUGUUUGUCCCCUGAUCUGUGGCCCCAGGAGCCCGAGAGACCACCUGAGCCAACGAGAAGGCCUCUGGGCCAGAGCCCAGCUCUGCGAAGUGGGAGACUUCUCAGCCUCCACUUCCAGGUGCCCUGAAGUCGUUGGCAGGGGGUGCUGCCUGCUUGGGGCUCCCAGACUAAGGGAACACAUUCAUGUGGUGACCACGAUAGGCCCUGCAGGCUGAGGCACAGGAUUUGACCAAGGACGCAUCAGAGAUAGGAGACUGGGCCCUCACUCCUGCCAGCUGCAAACUCCCAAAGCCCCCAGCCCUCUCAUGGGGUGAAGAUGCCCUGAAGGACACUCCAGUGUGCUCCCACCUCUGGGUUCUGCCAGCCAGAGAGUGGGACCCUCAGGCCACAUGUGUCUUGCUGGAUCUCAGCUUUAGGGACCCAUCGUGCUGGCAGCUCCCUGAGACCUGGGUCAGGGGGUGUCCAUUAGAGCACCUUGGUCAGGACCCAGAGAUGGGGAGGGCAGUUGGCAUCUCCAGAAAGCAGGAGGUGGGGCAUGGCUCUGUGACAGACGUCCCUGUGACAGGGAGGAUUGGAGGGACAGAGGGGCGUGCUCAGGGGCGGAGGGGCAGAUGAGGCCACCAAAGGGCACCUUGAACACUGGAUGGCCCCAGGAAGGCCCUUGAACCCCAUCCUGAUUGAUCCAGGGCCUGUGACCUUGGCCCAGACUGCAGGCCUGGGGACUUGAGUUCCUUUAGUUUCUUAAGAAACUACUAUACUCCUUUUUGGCAUAGCUGUACGAUUUUACAUUCCCACCAGUAAUGUGUGAAAGCUCUAGUUUUUACUCAUGCUCCUCAGCGUUUGAUGUUUUAUUUUUAUUUUAGCUAUUCUGAUAUAUAUGUGUUAGUCAUUGUGGUCUUAAUUUGCAAAUUUCUAAUGACUAAUGAUAUUUAACACCUUUUCUUGUUCAUAAUUAAAUACCAUCUGUAUUCCUUUUCGCAUAUCAUCAACACAACCGUGAAAAAUCAGAACAAAAUUUUUCAGACGACUUCAAAAUUUUUAGAACAAUACUCAAGGGAAAAGGUGUUUAUUUAGAACAAUGAAAACAAUGAGACAUUAACUUCCAGGUUAAAUAAAGUUGAUUGUGUGCAUAAAAAUGGUGAAAAUAUUAGACUUCCUUGGCAAAAGAAGAAAGGGGAAGACUUUAUAUUUUCUGAAAUAAUAUUCAUCAUUUGUCUUUGGUUUAUUAUGUGUAUGAUUUGGAAAAAAUGCAUCAAAGAUACAACCUUCUGGUGUUUGCUUUGAUAUUAUCCUUGCAAACAGAAAAGUUGGCACGUUUCUGUAUAAAACUGGACAAAGUUGGCCUAGGAAUGAUGUUACAUUGUACUUUCACUUUACAUCAUACUGUAAGAGUUUAAUAAUAGCUAAGGCAGGCGUGUUGAUGUGGACUUACUGUCCCUAUUUAAGAGGUGGUGUGAGGUUUAGGAGAGUUAUGUACCCUUUAUCAUAAAACAAAUCUAUGAAGCAUUUAUAUAAAAACCCAGUAUUUCUGGUUUCAAAUUCAGUACUGUGCCGUCUGCUUGAUAGAUUUGUUUGCAGGUUAGAGACAUUUUAUUGCAUAACUUCCAUGAAGUAUCACAGUUGUACUCUUGACUAUGUUUAAAUCACAACAAGACUUUAAUCUGCACUCAGUUCUUUUAACUAAAAUCUUCAGUUUGAAUAUUAAUUUCACUUAAAGAACAUCCCUAGAAAUUUCAGAGAGAGUUUACUUGCGGAAUACAAUUUGCAUUUGCUUUGACAACUAUUAGUUCACAUAUGUAAAAUAAGUCUACCUGUCUGUAUGCAUAAUUAAGAUGUAACAGUAGUGUGGUAAUGACUUGUUAAUUAAAGCAAUUAGAAUGGCAGUGGAUCAUGGCACAAUUUACCUUAAAAGCCAUGAGCAGACUACAUCACAAGCUAUGAUACAAUUAAUAGUCAUUAGGUUUAAAGUAGUUUCUGCAUAUAAAACCACAAAGCAUAUUUUAGCCCUUUAAACAAAAGCUUCAUUCAGUCAAUACUGGUCUUCUUGUAGAUGCAUUUAUGAAACAAAACCACAAAACAUAUAGCUUACCCGCUUCUCAAAACAUGUUGCACAGUAGGUUGAGGGACUUCUCUACACCAGGACCUAUUCUUAAAACCAAUAAGUCCUCAGUGAAAAUUAUGUAUUUGCCUGGAGUCUCAUCUGAUGUGUCUGUUGUAGGCAGCUGUGGCAGUGGUGGGUGGUUUAGUGAGAUGGACCCUGUCCACGUCUGUCCGUCCAUCAGUGGGCUAGUGUGUCUCUGGCUGCACCUGAGAAGGGUCUAUAGGAGUUA
ensembl:lncRNA novel transcript